CCUACGGGAUGCAGCAGUAGGGAAUCUUCGGCAAUGGACGAAAGUCUGACCGAGGAACGCCGCGUGAGUGAAGAAGGUUCUCGGAUCGUAAAACUCUGUUGUUAGAGAAGAACAAGUAGGAGAGUAACAGCUCUUACCUUGACGGUAUCUAACCAGAAAGCCACGGCUAACUACGUGCCAGCAGCCGCGGUAAUACGUAGGUGGCAAGCGUUGUCCGGAUUUAUUGGGCGUAAAGCGAGCGCAGGCUGUCUUUUAAGUCUGAUGUGAAAGCCCUCGGCUCAACCGAGGAAGGUCAUUGGAAACUGGAGGACUUGAGUGCAGGAGAGGAGAGUGGAAUUCCAUGUGUAGCGGUGAAAUGCGUAGAUAUAUGGAGGAACACCAGUGGCGAAGGCGACUCUCUGGUCUGUAACUGACGCUGAGGCUCGAAAGCGUGGGGAGCAAACAGGAUUAGAUACCCUCGUAGUC
rnacentral:rRNA from 1 species